UUUUCUAUGGAAGCUUGCUUCCACUGAGAAGAUAGUGGCGGACGGGUGAGUAACACGUGGGUAACCUGCCCAUAAGAGGGGGAUAACAUCCGGAAACGGGUGCUAAUACCGCAUAGUUUUCUUGAUCGCAUGAUUGAGAAAGGAAAGACGGCCUUUGUGCUGUCGCUUAUGGAUGGACCCGCGGCGUAUUAGUUAGUUGGUGAGGUAACGGCUCACCAAGACGAUGAUACGUAGCCGACCUGAGAGGGUGAUCGGCCACAUUGGGACUGAGACACGGCCCAAACUCCUACGGGAGGCAGCAGUAGGGAAUCUUCCGCAAUGGACGAAAGUCUGACGGAGCAACGCCGCGUGAGUGAAGAAGGUUUUCGGAUCGUAAAACUCUGUUGUCAGAGAAGAACAAGUCGGAGAGUAACUGCUCCGGCCUUGACGGUAUCUGACCAGAAAGCCACGGCUAACUACGUGCCAGCAGCCGCGGUAAUACGUAGGUGGCAAGCGUUGUCCGGAUUUAUUGGGCGUAAAGCGAGCGCAGGCGGUUCCUUAAGUCUGAUGUGAAAGCCCACGGCUCAACCGUGGAAGGUCAUUGGAAACUGGGGAACUUGAGUGCAGAAGAGGAGAGUGGAAUUCCAUGUGUAGC
rnacentral:rRNA from 1 species